rnacentral:rRNA from 1 species
CCUACGGGUGGCAGCAGUAGGGAAUCUUCCACAAUGGGCGAAAGCCUGAUGGAGCAACGCCGCGUGGGUGAAGCAGGUCUUCGGAUCGUAAAACCCUGUUGUUAGAGAAGAAAGUGCGUGAGAGUAACUGUUCACGUUUCGACGGUACCUAACCAGAAAGCCACGGCUAACUACGUGCCAGCAGCCGCGGUAAUACGUAGGUGGCAAGCGUUAUCCGGAUUUAUUGGGUGUAAGGGGAACGCAGGCGGUCGUUUAAGUCUGAUGUGAAAGCUUGCGGCUUAACCGGAGUAGUGCAUUGGAAACUGGGAGUCUUGAGUGCAGUAGAGGAGAGUGGAACUCGAUGUGUAGCGGUGAAAUGCGUAGAUA